GCGGCUUUAGUUCAGAGGCAGAACUUUAGUUUUCCAAACUAAGAGUCGGGAUAUCGUAAUUCCCAAGCCGCU
rnacentral:tRNA from 1 species